AUUGAACGCUGGCGGCAGGCUUAACACAUGCAAGUCGAGCGGAGAUGAGGUGCUUGCACCUUAUCUUAGCGGCGGACGGGUGAGUAAUGCUUAGGAAUCUGCCUAUUAGUGGGGGACAACAUUCCGAAAGGAAUGCUAAUACCGCAUACGCCCUACGGGGGAAAGCAGGGGAUCUUCGGACCGUGCGCUAAUAGAUGAGCCUAAGUCGGAUUAGCUAGUUGGUGGGGUAAAGGCCUACCAAGGCGACGAUCUGUAGCGGGUCUGAGAGGAUGAUACGCCACACUGGGCAUGGUACACGGCCCAGACUCCUGCGGGAGGUAGCAGUGGGGAAUAUUGGACAAUGGGCGGAAGCCUGAUCCAGCCAUGCCGCGUGUGUGAAGAAGGCCUUUUGGUUGUAAAGCACUUUAAGCGAGGAGGAGGCUACCUGGAUUAAUACUCUAGGAUAGUGGACGUUACUCGCAGAAUAAGCACCGGCUAACUCUGUGCCAGCCGCCGCAGUAACAC
rnacentral:rRNA from 1 species